rnacentral:sRNA from 1 species
AUAUCGUCGUCGGCCGACCUGCUAUGUAUGACGAGCGGCAGUCCGGUUGUUCGCGCUG